UUCCCUCCUCCUUUGGGGAUUCUUUCAGUGUAAUUGAAGCAUAGCGGUAGUGGUAGUCAGAAGCUUGCAUAGCGAGGGUGGAAAAUGCGGCCAGGAGCGAGACACUAAAAAUGGCACGGUGAGGGUGGAAGGAAUCUGCGUGACAGCCGUGCUUGCGAACCACUGUCAGAUGAACUGGCAACAAAUGACCUGUCCAAAUCUCGUGGCCCCGAGCACUGCCAGCAGCAACUGGAGAGCAGGUUGGUAGCUACGAGCGAGGGGGGUCGUUGUGUCAUCGUUUCCUGGAGCGGAGGACUCACACCUGGUCGGGUAUUAACUUUGUUUAAAUUUUUAAUCCAGAAUAUAGUAUUUAAGAUGUUUCCUGUAAGAGUUUUGCCAAUGGAUUGAGGUUACGUCCCAUGUGUCCUUCCGAUCAACUUCAGCAGACUGAUCAGAGGACCGCUGGGCAUGCAGUACCUUCUUUUUUUCUUUCUUUCUUUGUUUUUUUUAAAAUGAUAAGAUGGAGUACUCACACGAAUAUGAAUACAACCAACCAACGAGAGAAGGAAAAGAAGGGAAAAUCGUGAAAGAGUGUACCUCUGGAUAAAGCUAUCGCACCACCAAGCUGCUGGCGGCAAGCCCCAGCAAGGCUCCUCGAGCUCUUCAAGCUGCGUGCGGUUGAUAGGUCGGCCGAUGAUCCCAAACUCGACUGCUGCUCCUCGUGCCUUCCCACGGAGGCGGAUGACACUACAAGUCAUAGAUCGCCUCAAGGAUCACGACGCACCAGAACCCACUCUCUUACACCCCCGCACCUUGCAGAUAGUCCUACCCGAGCUGACGUCACUGGAAAACCGUAACUCCCUUCCCAAUUAAUCCACCAAUUUGGAUUUGGGUUUGGGAUGUCCAACAGUUUUGUGAUGCAUAAGUUGGAAGAAUUCUCAGUGAGAUUGCUUAGGAGAGGAGGCAGGAGUGGUAGGGCUGGGAGAGGUAGGAGGUAAGGAAUGAAGGUGGAUUCCAUCGGAUUUGACGGUGGGCGUGAUACUAAAAGUUGGUUAUAGCUUCAUCGAAGGCGCAUAUGAGAGGUGGUUAAGGAAGGAAGCGCAGGGGUAACGGGGAUCCAGGAGGAGCGAAACCAUGUCGGCUGUGAGCUUUGAGGGAGAGAUCUAAGCAUCUCGGAAGAAGCAGCGGCAGCUGGAUUGAACAAUGGGAUUACCUUCCAUUCAUGGCUCGAAGAAAGGCAAAGCAUUCAAAUGGCUACAAGGCUGGGAUACUGAAGGGUAUCAAGAACAGUUUCGCAAUGUUUUGAUCACAGAGAGAGGAGAAUUACUGGUCAUAAACUCCUGAAAAGGUUCAUCCCUACGCUCUGGAAUUCAGCGGGAUUCAGCUUCAACCCAUGGAAAUCUCCAAAUCAAUAUCCGAAUCAACAUCAGUUUCUUCUUUCACUGACCUUCAAGAAUCUUCCUUUUCUUUCUUUCAUUCAUUUUCCCUUCCAUUUCUCCAUGAUAUGAAUUUUAACUAUCGUGAGGUGGACUUUUUUAUUUGUAACAAUACGCUUAGUAAGCAAUAUCAGCUUCUUUCACAGGUUCCUGUCUGCUGUCUUAUUUUCAUACUUUCUUUCUUCCGGGAGGUGGUAGCAUUAAUAAGCCAUUAAAUUAUAUGAAGUUGACGAUUUACCAAGUUGAAUAAAAAAUUAAAUGUUAUCAUCAUAUUAGAAUAGAACUAGAAACACAGGUCACGAAAGAAACCACACUGAUAAAAGCACAAAAAAUAAACUAUUUUGCUAUUUGAUAGUUCAGACGGGAGAAAAAAACAACAUACAUGAGUUGCAUGGGAGUAGCAGCAGCUUCUCUAUGAAUGCUGAUUGUUCUCAAAACCAAAUAUCCGGAACACACCUGCAAGGUGCAUUCUUUUAGCUAAGUACCAUUGAAAGCAAAGUAUGAUACCAACAUAGAAGCAAUUCUCAUGACUACAAAAUAUCUUAGCAUAUUAAAUCUGGCAUAAAACCCUUUGGUUAUAUUUUCUAAACACCAAAUAGACAAUGCUUUAACCUAUCUAUACGGGGUUUUCCUUACACUUUAUAGAUCAGCAUACAAUCCAUCAAAAGAGCUUAAAUAGGCCUUAUAGUCAGCUUUUAACCUCAAAUAGACCUUUUUCUCUCUUUAUUUAAAAAAAAAAAAAUGGACCUUGUGAAAGUACCAAACUUCUGUCCAACGUUAACUAUGGCCAAGUGGUCCGGUUGCAAUACUGUAAAACCAAUUGGAAAGAAGGAAGCCUUUUGAUUGGUCAUACAAGUCAGAUGCAGCCAAGUAGCAACUAUAGCGAACAAUAAAUGAUGGGCCAGUGGUCAUAUCUCCUUCAUUUGAAGGAGAUUCCAGGUGUUCAAGUCUCGGAAGAUGCAACCUAUUAUUUGGACCUGGUUAAUUUACUUGGGAUGGGCCUUCCUUCCCUGUCCCCCAUAGAAAACCCAAGAAGCAACAAUAAGGUUCACCUAGAUUUUGCAAGAUGUAAGAAAUUUUACGUGCAAUUAAAAAAAAAAGGUUUAAUAUAGGCAACUAUAUAGAACUAGGCUAGAAAAUAAAUUAAAUAUCAAUGAGCCAAAAUAAUCCACAACACUUACUUGCAAUCUGAAAGGUUUUAAGAGAGAAACGGGUAGUGAUAACGUAAAUGGAAAAGAAAGAGGAAACAUUAAACCAUACCUUCAUCAGCUUGGUAUUUGUUCUUAUCAUCUCCUGCAUAAGCCAGUAAGUUGUAUUUAGGGUUCCACUCCACACUGUUCAUUGCUGCCUUACAGGGGAUCUGAUGCACUGAUCUCCCAGUCUGAACAUUGGACUGGAGAUGGAAAAAGACUAUCAAUCAAAAUUAUUGCUAAAAAAAAUCCAAAAACAAAAGGCAAAAGUCAAACAUGCACAAGGACCACAUACAAUAUCAAUAAAAGGAUCUUCACUGGCUGAAGCAAUAUAUUCUCCAGUGUGAUUAAAGCUGAUGGUUCUGACAGGCCAUCUGAAAUGUAGACGUUACCGAAAAGUAGUUAUUCAUCAAAUUAUAUUUCUCAUUUGAAGCUUCUGCGUUGCCUUUGUGAAGAUAAUCAUUCUAGUUUAUGAAAUAUUUUUGCCUCCAGAUAGUUCUAACAACAAUGCCUAAAUUAAUAUUUAAUUCAAGCAGCUUUGCUUUGAUAAAUAAUUCAUGGAAUGUCCAUAAAAGAGAGAGAGAAGUCAGAGAAGCUUACUCAAGCUUUGUGAAUGUUCGGACGCACAACAUCUCUGAUAUAUCCCAUAGGCUGACCAAUGAAUCAGCACUUCCAACAGCGAAGUAUCUACAAUCAUAGAAAUAGUUGACAAAGGUCAUAUUCGUGCCGUGAUGGAUGCAUUCCAAAGUUUGAUAGAUGCCGGCCAUAUGAAGACAUAUCUAGCAAAAAGCCUCAUAUGUGACAAUGCAUGCACAUGCAUGGUCUCCUAGAGAGUUGCAUGUUCUAAUUGUACUGAGGAACCUCAUCUGGAUUUGCUACAGUAUUCAACAGACAACCUUUUAGUCUUCGAUAGUUCAAGAGUUUGUGUAACGAAAACAAAGCUGCAGGAGUCCUGACUACCACAUCCAAUGGUAUUGAAAGAACAGAUUUCUCUAAAAGAAAAGGAUGCUCGGCAACUUUUAGCUGAGAUUGACAAUACCACUAAAAGAAUACCUAAAGCAAUGAAACUUCUAAAACUUAGACUAGACACAGUAACACAAUGACCAGAAUUACAUUCCAACUUUACCAAGACAUCUUAGAAAUGUAUAACAUUGAGAAGCAACAGAUUUAUCUUUUUCUGCAUAAUUUCAACUAGUUUAACAUUAUAGUGAGGUUUCCCUUAACUAAAAGUGUUUCUUCAUUUUUUUUUUUUCCAGAUACUAAAAGCCAUGACACAGAAAGCCUACAAUCUAUAGUCAACCCACUUAGUUUGGCUAAAUUUUAGGCUAGAAAGAACUGUGGGCAGAAUAAAGAAUAUGCCAAAGCAAACUUAGCCUGAAGGUGAAGUUGCCAUUUUGUAUGUCAAGAAAAAAAAAUACAAAUCCGUGGUGAAUCAUAAUCCUAAUUUAAAUGAUUACUUUUCAGCCAGACAUUCAAAUUUCUGCAGUGGUUGGCAAAAGUUCAAGCUUAAUGACAUGAUGAUCAUCAAAAUCCCAGCACUAUUUCUAAUCCAGACUUUGUUUUCAACUCCUUGUAUACCGUUUUCCACCCCAACUCCCAAGGAUUGCUAUUGGUACAAAUCAAAACUUCAUUAUGGAUAAACUGAAAAUACAAAGCUAAUUUAGGACCAGGUGUAGAUAAUGAGCAUAAACAUUUAGUGGCAAAGAAUCUAUUUCAAAUUCUCAAGUUAGCAAGCAGAACAGGAAGUACAACCAACGUUUUAGAAAAAGAUAAGCAUUAAUCACUUCGCCCAGUUUCAGAAGAACAAAAGGGCUAUUAUUUCCUCAUCAGCAUUCCAAUAAAUACAGCUCUACUUUGAGUUUGAGACAGCUGAUUUAGUGCUGAACAAGGCAACCUCUAAUGAUAUUUCAAUCAUCUUCCUGAAAAAGGAGGACGUAGUAGUUUUAAUACUACCGAUCUGAAAAACUGUGGGUAUUUUCUGCCCAGCCCAAAUGAAAAAUAAGAUUGAAAUGACCAAAGAAUAGAUUCAGUGCAAUGGAGAAAGUGUCUAACAUUAUACUUUGUAAUGAUUCUAUUUUCUUUCAGCCAUUAAAUAAAACCCAUUGUCAUAUAAGAAUGAGAAGUAGAUAAAAAUAAAUAAAUAAAUAAAUAAGAAUAUCCUAAUCACCUUCCUAUGGGAUCAAUUGCAAUGCAAUAGCAACCUGCUGUAUGAGCCACCAAAGUGUGAAGCACCUUAAGAGAGGGAUAAGCAAGUACCUCAACAGUACCUGCUAAAAAAAUAGAUAUCUAUUAGGAGAGAUUAUUAUAUAUUUCAUGUGAUGGAACUUAACAAUAAGCUUGAACAUGCGCGAAACUGUGGAACUUCACAUAUAUUCUUGAACAAAAAGGUUGAAUUAAGAUGACUCUCACCAUUCCCAGUGGUAAGAAAAAACAGUUCUCCAGUUGUAUUCCAUGCAAUCUCAUUUACCUAUAAGCAGGCCAUACCAUGUCAACGCCACAUUCACUAUAUAAAGCUUUUAAGAGAAGUUCUGAAGACAUGCGUCCAAGUUGACAUGCUCUUUCUAAACAACAAAUAUAUAACAGUAAGCCUUUAAGAAAGAAUAGCCUAUGGCAACAACACUUUUAUUUUCUGACACAGAUAAGGGUAGAAAAUAACAGCUUGAUUGCUGGUUAUUCAAAACAUAAUAAAAAUGCCAGUCUAAUGUAGCUUUUGAGAAAGAUGCUUUCCAAGGAUAGAAAACCAAAGAUCAUGGAGCUUAGAUACAAAUAUAUGUAUAAGAAGUUAACCUAUAUCAUGUCAUCACAGGUAGAGGUGAAAAGUAAUUGGAUCUAAUUGUCAACAAUGUGUAAAAAGCAGAGUCAGCUAAUAUAUAAAAAUCAGAAAGGAACAAAGAGGGAUCAAGUAACAGAAGAAAAAAGGUAAUGCUAAAAGAUCCCAGACACAGUUGAAGCAAGCAAAUAUCAACUGGUAACUACCUCAUAGUUAAAUUUGCGCCUAUGUAUUGGUUUAAACUUCCGAACAUCCAGUAUUGUAAGCUCAUCCUCCUGAAACAAAUAAGGGCAUUGUUAGAAAUCACACCCAUAAAAUUAUUAUAUAAUUAAUCAAAUAAGACAAUGGAUGAACACUCAAAUGGAGGUAGUAUCAUAGUUUACAAUAACAGCCACCGGGAUUUUAUUAAUUAAUCUUCUGAGUCGAAUGAUAUAUGAAAUGCUGGUUCACAUAAGUUUGACAUUUAACUUCGCAUAGUCUGACAUAUAGGCCUAGACAAGUCAAUCCUUAGCACCUCAGAUUGCUUUUAAAAUGAAUUAAUGAGUUAGCAACAGAAAAUGCAGAUACACAAUAUCCCAAUUCAUGGAACAGAAACUACUGCAAGAACAAUCAAUGAGAACUUUUAACCUAUAAUAAGUACGUUAUAAGGGAGCAUAAAUCACAAACAUGUGUGGACACAUGGCUUGGCUGCUUCUGUUAGAACUGACAGGACGUCAAAAACAAAGCAUGGUAAGGACAACAAAUAAGCAUAAUCAUGUUGCUACAUGGUGUACAAGCUUGAUACUUCAAAUAAUUGUUUGAUAGAUUAUAGACACACUUAUUAACAGAAAGAUGCUGACAGAUGCUCAGAUGCACCUUAAAAUAUAGAAGAAAAACCGGAAAUGAGUAACAUCAUUAAAAAAAAAUUAAGGAAAAAUUACAAAGACAACCCUUAAAGUUUGACCGUUUUACACUUAGACCCCAAAAGAAAAAAGUUUUAACCACUUACCAAAAUUUUGAAAAUGUUGCAAAAGGAUCCAGCCAUUUGUCUCCAUUAGGCAAGGUUAUAACGUGAGAGUAACUGAGAGGGUAAAUUUUAUGAAAUACCAUAAAUGCCCUUCCCUUCUAGUUACUCCAGAGAAUGAAAAAAAUAGAGAAAAAAUCUGAAAAAAAUAUAAAAGAAGGGUGGAAAAAGAAAAAUUUUUUUCUUUUCUCGCGUAGAUUGAUCAAAUCUUUUUCUUUUUUCCUUUUUCUUUUCUCUUUUCUUUCUCUUUGUUGGAGAUUUGUGGGAAGGAAAGCACGGAGGCAGAUUGGAGGGGGAACGCCGACGUUGGUGAGGGCAUCUAUGAGGGGGAAGGUGAACGCAGAGACCAGCGGGAGGCGGAUGUCUGCGAUGAGGAAGGCGACAACAAAGACCGACAGGAGGUGAGCGUCCAAGAGGGGGAAGGCAAUGGCGGAGACCGGCAGGAGACGGGUAUCCGCGAGGGGAAAGUGACGGCGAAGACCGACAGGAGGUGGGCAUCCGCAAGGGGGAAGGCUGACUUCAGUGAGGACGUCUGUGAGGGGGAAGGUGACGGUGGAGACCGACAGGAGGUGGGUGUCCUCCGUUAGGGGGAGGUGGAGAUAGGCAGGAGGUGGGCGUUCGUGAGGGAGAAGGCAACAGCGGAGACAGGCGGGAGGUGGGCGUCCGCAAGGGGGAAGGCCGACACUGGUGAGGGCGUCCGUGAGGGGAAAGGCGAUGGCGAAGACCGGCAGGAAGUGGGCGUCCGUGAGGGCGGUGACAAUGGGAAGGAAGGUGACGACGGUGAUGAUGGGAAGAAAAGCACCUGAGGAAGAUCGGAGGGGAAGGUCGACGUCAGUGACGAUGGGAAGAAAGGCGACGAUGGAGACCGAGGGAGGUGGCGGCGGGAGCGUAGGGAGGAGGUCAGAGUGAACCAGGGCAAAUCGCAGAGUACACGCACGAUGGACAGCGCACAAUCAGGAAUUGGUGAAAUAUAAGGGGUAAUGUGGCAUGCUAUCCACCGUGGCAUUUUGCACGAUCCAAUUGCACCCGAUCCACAGGGAAAAAAUGAAAAAAAAAUUAAGUGUGAACUAAGGGUAUUUUAGUCAUUUCAUCUUUUCUGUUAAUGCCAUUAGGCCAAAGACAGACAGCCGGAGUUCUUUGCAAUAUUUUCAAAGUUUUGGUGGGUGGUUGAAAUUUUUUCUUUUGGAUCUAAGUGUAAAACAGUCAAACUUUAAGGGGUGUUUCUGUAAUUUUUCCAAAAAAUAAUGCACACACAUGCCUGCAGACAAAAGAAUGGAGUUGGUACCAAACAGAAUUAGGCUUCAGCUAAAACUAUAGCAUUGUCUACUUGAGACAAUGUCAAAGAAAAUUCUCCAAGCGAAAAUUUUAAUAGCAAAAGUAGAUGGCUAGGAGGACAAGGCAAUGGCUGUAAUUAUCUAAGGUUGCAUUUGGUGCAUCACCAGGCAAUCUUGAAAGAUAAUGUGGAUUGCCUUCAGGAUAGAUUGCCACCAUUAAAUUGUCAGUAAUGUUGAUUAUUAUAUUUGGUACACACAGAUAAUGUUAUAAUAAAAUUAUUAAAAAUCUUGAUUGACAUGUUUGAUAUAAUAAUUAGAUUAUCGGUAAUGUGAAAUCAAAUUUUCAAAAUACCCUCGAUAAUUUUGCCCUGGUGCUCUUUUUUUUCCCUGAUAAGAAGUAACAGAAAUGAUAUGGAUGUGAUGGUGGCACAGAAAAGUGGCAGGCCGAGGGAUGUGAGGAACCGUGGGUACUGGGGGGGUGGGGAGGGGCAGGCUCGUGUGGAGCCGUGGGAGUGGUGGGGACAAGCGUGGAGGAGCCACGGAGGAUGGUGGGGGAAAAGGGCAGAGGAACCGCAGGCAAGCNNNNNNNNNNNNNNNNNNNNCAGAGGAACCGCAGGCAAGCAAAAGGAGAUGGAGGAGCUGCGGGCCGGGGGCACACGCGAAGGGGGGUCGGGGUAGGGGGAGGGUUAGGCAAUGAGUUUUGUAUGAUUUUUUUGAGGAAUAAUUUUGUCCAAAAUUUUUAUUGCAACAUUGCCAAAGAAGUGAUAAUUUGGAUAGCCACCCCUCCCCAAAGUAAUCCAGAUUGCUUUAUGGGAGGCAAUCUGAAUUGCCAAGACAAUCUGAAGUACCACCCAAAAAGCAUACCAAAUGCAAUAAUCCAGAUUACCACAUUAAAUUGCAAGCAAUCUAGAUAAAUUGCCAGCUAUCAAAUGCAACCUAAAAGAAAUGUGUUUUAAUCAUAUUCAAUCAGAAUGGAAAUUAGAAAGAUGUUUAGAUAUCACUGCAAAUUCAGAUCAUUCCCAAAAUGUUCAUAAAGCCAACCUCAUAAAGAUUUGGAUAUGGCUCAUUCAAUGUGAUCAAGGAUACAUUUUAAAGUCCUUCAAAAUGCAGCAUAAGAUAUUUCAGACAAAUAUGUUUUCAUUCAAAUUGCAAUACUCUAUCCCUAUUUCACCGACGUUUGUUCAUCCUCUUAAACAUAAUUGAUAUCACUCUUCCAUAUGUUUUCACCAAUCAACUCUAGAAUCUUCCAUUAAACUAAUCAAACUCGAGAAAUCAUGUAUGAGUGCACAUAAAUGAGUUCUUUUUCACAUACCUUAUUUCCAACAGCUAUAUGAGUUCCAUCAGGUUUGUAGGUGAUAUUGAUAUUCUCUCCACUAAGUUCAGCAUGCUGAGAGCAUUUUCCACCUGGAAAACCAGAUGUCAGGGUAUUUCAAAUCUAUAGAGUAAAUUAAGAAGUCAAGGCCAUCUUUUUUUUUUCCAGUUCUGAACAGGUAGAGAAAAAGGGGAAUAGUGGACAAACUAAAGUUAUCUAGCAAGAUGAAACAACAGAGUUCCCUGAACAACAAAGAAAUAGUCCCCUCUCCCAGCAAUGUGGUAGGAAUCACUUUAGUUACUAGUUAUCUAACACAUUACAUUCAGACAUGGCUUACAAGCCUAUGCAAACAUUUCAAUAGCCAGUACCUAUCAUCAAACAAAAUUUAUCAACAUCAUGCCCCAACUCCUUGAAUGUAAAAUAUAUAUCUGUUGACCAACUAUGGUAAAGUCAACAAAAGAAAACAACUUAAACAGAAAUAUUAACAAUACAAGAACUUUUGCAUGAACACAUUUGAAAAUACACUGCAUUAGUCUCUAUAAUACCCAGAAGUUAUAAAGAAAAGGUAAAGAAAGUAGGUUGCAUACCUAUGAAACAGACCAUGAUGCUGAAAGCACAAAACAAGAAUACAAGAAUUUAACCAUUGUCUUUUGGCGUGACACUAAAAAAGCAGUCCAACUACUGCCAAACCUAUCAAAAUUAGGGUAAAUUUACUCACUUCGAGCAUCCCAAAGACGUACAGUCUUGUCCCCAGCUGCAGUUGCAACUAAAUCAGGAUGCUUUGGGUCCCAGCACAGCUGAUCUACGCUGUCCGUAUGCCCCUUUAAUUCAAUAUCUUUGACCUUGCCCUGCAUUUUAAACAAACAGAACUCAUGAAUACCUCAGCACAAACCAUAUCCAAUUUGCUUUUUCUCAUCAUUUCCUCCUUAUAGCAACAAUGGAUUAAUGGAAUUUGAAUAAGAAACCUUGUUGAGAGUUACCCCUCCACAGCACACACAUCUUACAUAAUUAACCCAUGAAAUGCUGUAAUUUACAGGUGUUAUGUAUUGGUUAUAUAGAAAUAAUAGAAUAUUCAAAUGGUGUACUCCACUAUGAAACUGAAGAUGUAUUCAAGGUGACGUAAUGCCAUUUUUCCGAUAUCUUCCUUUAUAUUUGCUUAUUCAUUUUCCUCUGAUUUUUUUUCCUUAAGAGAGCAUUUACAUGUAGAAAGAAACAUCUGUGCAAUGCACCUAUAUAUCAGUAAGUACUCAAUCAGGUAGCAAUAUGCGUUUGAGGGGGAAAAAGAAACUAAAAUUGUAAAUUACAUUCCCUAGAAAGUCAGAAAGGAAUAUUUCUAUAUUUUCAUCAAACUGGGUUUUCAAAAGCAAUCCAAAAUCUUUUUAUUGGAUAGGUUUUUUUUCAAUCAAUUUUAAAAAGUAACUCCCCACCGGUCCGCCUAUUUCAGGCCUGUACCAGCACCAUAUACGUUUUCGGUGCAGGUACGUUUCCAAUGCGGCAAAAAACAUGGCUUUUAGAGCCAGUUGGUUAGCGGGUAGUGCAUGAUGCUACACUUCCUUUACUUCAAGAUCUUGCUUUGAAACUUCUUAACCAACCUUGUUCUUCAUCAUGCUGUGAACAAAAUUGAAGCACUUAUUCAUUUAUUCACUCAACGAGGAGGAAUAAGAUCAAUCCAAAAAGAGCUCAAGAUUUAGUAUAUGUACAUACAAAUCUUCAUCUUCUGUCUAGAAAGAAUGAAGAUUAUCAAAAGGGGGAGACAAAGAUGUGGGACAUUAGUGGAGAUCAAUUUGAUUCAUUUGAUGGUGCUGGAGUUCUUGAGAUUGCAAGUUUGUCUCUUGAUGAACUAGAUGUAGAGAAGAAGCUUUUUGUUGAUGAUGCAAAGAAUGAAGCAGCUGAAACUAUUAUCACUUGAUUAUCAAGACUUGCUAUUUUGAUUUUCUCUACUUAUUUAAACUACUAGCUUAUUUUUUUCUUUAACUACAAGUAUUUGUUUGUUUUUUAUGAUGAUACUUAUAAAUUUAGGUGAGAUUUGAUAACUUAAUUUAUUAAUAUUCGAAUAUUAUAUAUAUGAUUCAGUUUUUCAUAUAUUUUUAUUAAUAUUAAAAUAUUAUAUAUAUUCAAAUAUUAAUAAAAAUAUAAAACACCUAACCAUACCCGUAUCGUGGUUUUUUCAAUUUUUACCGUAUCGACAUAUCCAUACCACAAAGUAUCCGUACCGCAUACCCAUAUCCAUGCUUCCUAGCUCUCCACAAAUUAGUUUUUUUUUUCAAUCAAUUUGGAAAAGUAAUUCUGCACAAAUACUAUUUGCUUUGGAAGAAAUGUUUUCCUUUAUUUAAUAUUGAAAUCUUUUUGUAUUGUUAUUAGCUUUUGAUUUCAAAGGGAUGGGUGUCAACUGGUUAGGUUUGUGUUGUGUUUCACUAUAUCGAUACCCAAAUCCCAAAUAUAUGUGUUGUAGACCCAAAUCCAAAUCCAAACCUGAUUAAAAUUGUAUAUCCAUACCCAAUUUUGGAACCCUCCUUCACGGAGAGAAAGAGAGGGUAUUCCAUCAGGUAUUGGGUAGCAAUCCAAUAUUUAAUAAGAUAUCCAUUAUAUACUUUUGGACUGUUUUAAAUGCACCCUAAAUGCCAUCUCAUGAACUAUGGAACAUGGAAAAGAAAUAUUGUGAAAGUCUGCACCUAGAAAAGAGGAUAUCUCUAUAUUAUUACUUUCAUUAUAUGGAAAACCAAAAAAGACAAAAAAAACUCUACAAUACUCAAGUGCAGUACAAAUAUUGAUUUACAACAAAUACAUAGUAAAGACUAAACUUUUAGCAACAACUACUAACCAUGAUAUCAUAUAACAUGUCCAUGAAUGUUUUCAACCUGUCUGAUCACAUGCCAUGAGUAGGAGUUUCAGGGAACAAGGUGACUUGCAGUUUGACUACUCUACUUUUUUUUAUGAUAAAGUAUGUUUUUGUGUGUGUGUGUGUGUGUGAAAUCAAAUUUGUUUUCUGGUAUGAAUGUACCUGAAUCCAAAUGCAAUCCAAUGCUAUUUAGGGUCUGAUUUUGGGACCCAAACCUAAACUAAUAGCUGUUGGGGUCUGAAAAAUAGACCUAAACCCUAUUUUGAAUCCUGGUCAAUAGUUAUGGGUUAUUGGCAUCUACUGACACUGCUAUCCGAAAGCAAUCCACAAUCACUCCCCUUUUUUCUUGUUUUUAACAACAGGAAUUAAAUGAUAGAGGAUAAGUCAUCCAUUUAUGGAAAAAUGAGAGUCUUUAGUAUAAAAAAUGACAGAUGGAAUCAAGGAGGAGUAUCCUCUUAUUUCAAGACUAUCAGUUUUUUUUUAAAUAUAGUAUAGAUAGUGGCAACAUUUAUCUAACAAAGAACUUUCUUCACAAGAUGCAUGUUCUUAGAAAGAAAUGAGAUAGAAACAAGAUCCAUUGAGAGAUUAUAAUGCAGUGAUCCAAUAAAUUUCCCAUGACAUCAAAAAGACAAAAGAAAAAAAAAGAAAAGACCUUUAAUUAGUUAAAAGUAAAAGGGGAAGUAUCCACUGCACAAAAUCAAUUUAUUUAAAACAGAUGUUUCUCCAUCUAACUAAUUGUAAAACAAAUAAGAAAGAACUGACUAUGGUAAUCAUGUCAUAUAUCUAGAGAUGAAAAUUAGAUAAUUCAAACUGAAAGGAUCCAUAUCUAACUACCUUAUUAGCAUUUGGCAUGUCAUUUAAAGCAUGUAUCUUGCAUCUCCUGAAAUACAUAUAUUUUGCCUGUAAUUGUAGGACUAUGGGGACCAGCUCAUAUUGGUUAUGGGGCUUGAUUGAUUGAGUGGUAGAGGAAUUGGAUAAUUCCUACUUAUCUGACUAUACUAGUUGAUAGGUCUUGAGAGGUUUAUUAAAGAAUAGAAUGGAACUAGACAAGGUAACUCUAGUUAGCCCUCUUUCAAGAACUGUAGUCAUUCAAAUCUUAUUAGGACAUGUGAAGGUUAAUGAGAUGGCUUGAAUGAAGAUUUAGAUAUUGCAUAUGAACAUCAAUGCUAAAUAGACAAUAUCUUACUGUUAUAUACAUAACAGUACGAUAUUGUCUAUUUAAUUUAUUUAUCUUACUUCAAUUGACUUUGAGAUUGCUGAAUGCAUUAAUUUCUUUAUUUUAAUUAAAUUAGUCAUGGAAAGUAUCUCAACUGGAAUCAAAAUGAAUCUUGAGGAAAAUCAAAAUGGUUGGGUUUAGGAAAGUUUGGGAGAAAUGGUUGGAAACCCAAUUAUUAAACUCCAAAGGAUGGAGAAAUAACUCUAUUCUUGUAAUGUGCUACUUUCUUAUCAGACAAUAUAUAUCAGGAAUGAUAUUGUUUAGGUUCAUUCACUAGAGUUUAGUGUCUUGUAUUUCCUUAAUGUGAAAAAAGUUACUGCUUCAACAACCUUGAAGCAGUAACAUUUUGAAUAUGCUAAUUCUGAACCUUAGGUUCAAUUUACUUCCUUUUUUUAUCGUCUUUCAUCCUCCUCGUUUACCAGAAAACAACCAAAUCUCACUAUCUCAAAAACUGCAAAAAAGUCAUUUACGUCAGGUAACAAGAUUCUCCAUCCAGCAUACGACCAUUUUCCCACUACCACUUGUUGAAGAAAUCCUGAAACAUCAUCAUAAUUUUGUAUUCCACAUUUCCUCAAAAUUGAAAAACGGAAAAGGGAAAAAUAGAACUUUCAGUUUAGGUCUUGUUUUCAUCGUACUGUCGAAAUAACCCAACAAGAAUCAAAAUUUCUCCUUCUAGAAUGCUGCAUUUUGUUGAAUAGCAAUUUGAAAUGACAUCUUGAAAUUAUAAUACGUUUCUUAGUUCUCACCAGUACCAAAUCCCAAAAUGAGCGUAAAGAUCAAAAUUUAAGCUGGUUUUAUUUUUUUCUUCCAUCAUAUACAUGGCCCAGCGAAAAAAGGGGAAAAAAGACGCGCAUGUAGGGAUCGAGAUUACAUGACCGUGGGGAUCGAUGUUCCAGACGCGAGCAGUGUGAUCAACAGAGCCAGACGCGAGCUUCGUACCCAAACAAUUCCACGCUACCGAGUGAACCUUACCAUUAGAAGAAAACAUCAUCGUGUUAGGGACGUACAAAAAAAAAAAAAUUCAAGAACCUAGGUUUUUUCAUGGAUCCUAGAGUAAACAAAUAGAAAAAGAAAAGAAAUCGUCAAUUCUAGGGUUUCUAAGAAAUCUAACCAAGAAAAUAUCGGGUUUUUUUUUCCCUCUCCAUAUACCUUCUUCUUGUGGCCCUGGUACUCUCUGGAGCUCAGGUUCUUGAAGCUCAGGGACUUGUCUUCCAUGGCCGCUCUCUCGUAGCUCGCUCGGCUCUCUCUCCUCGUACCGCGUUCUGAAAGAACAAAGAACAAAGUAAUAGAAAUUGGACAACCCGCUACAAACUACCGAGGUCUUUGUUCCCUUUGAUAGGGGCAUAUGGGGAAUUUCAUCUAUUUUUCGCCGCCGCUGCCCGCUGGUGACUCUUGGUGCGGUGCUCGGUGUGAGACGCGAGGCUGCCACCAAGUCUGGUCGGGUAAUUUACCUAAUUAAUUUUUUUAAAAAAAAUAUUUAUAAAAAUAAUAUAAUUUUUAAUUUAUUUAUCAAAUUAUUAUAAAAAAUAAAAUAUUAUUUUAAAUGAUNNNNNNNNNNNNNNNNNNNNUUUUAGUUUAUACAUGCCUGCAUUAAUUUUAGUUAGAUCCAUGGAUAUGUAUUUGAGCUAAUAAGUAGAUCAUUUUAAAUUCAACUAUUAUAUAUAACUUUUAUCAUUCGACAUCAUGAUGAAGCCUUUUCUUAUGAACUUGCAUGUCACCCAACAUGAUAUAAGAAAUAAAAACUAAGAAAUAUACUUUUUUAAAAAUGUUUAAAGCUUGAAACCUAUCUCAUAUUAAAAAUCACUAGAUCUAUUAUUGACAAAGUGAAUUGCCUUAAAAUCCUACGAUUGUGUACGCUGACAAGUUUCUACAGUGUCAUGGCAUUGAGCUUUUAGAUUGUGAAUUAAUGAGUUGCUUGACAUGAAAAAUGGAAACAGAAAUUGAUAAAUACACCUAGCUUUUUUAAAUAUGGUCAUACUUAUGCCUUUUGCUCAUUUAUGCUGUUCAUGGUUAGAUUAGAAUGUUAAUUUUUUAAUAUAUAUGACAAAGUGAAAAAUUUUAAAAUUCUAUGGUUAUGUCAAAUAACAAUCUCUAUUAAGUUGUGCUGGCUGUCAUGAUAAAUGUGAGCACGAGUAGCUUAACAUAACAAAAAAAAAAGAACCAACAUAGAAAAGUAAAAAACACCACUCCUAAAUAUUUAUAGUCAUGGACCCUCCAUCCCAUAUUAAUUGUAGCUAGAUUUUAAUAGUCUUUAGAGAGAGGGGGGAAGGAAUUGUUUCAAAAUUCUACUAUUAUGCAUAACAACAAUCCUCCAUGAAGUCAUGCCAGUGAUCAUGACGAAAGUCUUCAAAAUUAACAUGAUAAAAUAUAAAUUGACAAAUACCCUCUCCUUUUAAAUAAUUUUUUAUCUAUGACUUUCUUUCUCUUGUAUUAAAUAUAACUAGAGACACCAAUAUAUAUUUCAUGUUGGCAUAAUGAACUAAUUAAUUCAAAAUUCUACUGUCACAUAUGAUGAGGCUUUGAAGCUAUGAGGCCGUCAACAGCAAGUGAAAACUAGCAAAGACACUCCCUUUAAUGUGUCACCCUUGUAAUUCUAUACAAUACCUAGAGAAAUAGAUACUAGGAUAUCAUAUCUAUCAAAAUAGGCAUAGUAUUUAUUAAUUUCUAAAAAAUAUUUUGUUUUAAAAAGAAGCAAGAUUUAUUUCAAAAAAAAUAUUUUUACCUAAAUAUUUGUUUAAACUAGAUUUUAGCAUAUAUAUAUAGAGAGAAAAAGAGAAAGAGAGAGAGAGGGAGGGGCACACAUACAUUCUUUUAUAUUUGAAAUUUACAAUUCAUCCUUCUAGAUAUUAUACAUUGGAAAAAUGACAUAACAUGGUUUUGAUCAAUGGUAUGAGACUACUCUGAUUAAUAUCCAUGAUGCCAAAUCUUUGAAAAUUGGCAUUUAUCAUUGGAUCUCAUUUGUUCAAUGACUACUUUUGCUCAUGAGCUUAAAAAUUUUUCUUUUAUUAUUAUCUAUAUAUCAGUUAUUUUGAGGAAUCUAUGUAUCCAUGAUUGCUUGAUAUCAUAGAAAGAUCACCAAAGAUAUUAGGAUAUAAAAGGAGCAAUAUUAAUGGUGGAAAUGAUGGUUAUAUGGUUGAAAUUAGUCAAAAGGGUUCGAAAGGAGUGACCAUGCUUAGCUUGAGUCCAGAGGAAUUAUCAGCAAUAAUGAAUUUAUUGAAAGGAUAUUGAUACUUUACAAACGUGUUAAUUAAAAAAUCAAUAGAAUUACAAUGAUCAAUAUGCUUUGUUAUAAUUUUUGAUUGCAAAUAAGUUCAAUAAAGAAAGAGUUGAUGCUUAUUGUUUGAUUAUAAAGAUGGCAUUAGACUGAAAAGAAGAGCAAUGAGAAUCAAUAGUUGUCAACUCUAAAUAAGACAAUAUGAAAAUCUAUUAUUAAAGUUAAAAAAAAUUAAUUUUUGAGAGACACCACAACUAAAAUAUUUAAAUGGAGAGUAAGAGUGAAGGUAGUGGUGAUGGGGGUAGUCAUUUAUGUAAUUUAGGUAAAGUUAAAUUGUAUUUUUAUAACAUAUAUUCUUGCAAAUAUAAUAUUUUUUUAAGUGGUCAAAAAUAUUUUUAAAAAUAUUUUUUAUCGUGAGGAUAUUUUUAGUGAUGCAGAUAAAAAAUUUGUUAUUAUGAAAAUAAAUAAGAAACUUUCGCUCAUUUGUUUGCUUUAAAAAAUGAUCGAACCAGGUCCUCCAUGUUAUUUUUGGACCAGUUCAACUAAAACGCAACACGUCGCAGGGAGUAGAAAAUCGCCUAUGAAAAGCAUUCAUGAUUUUUGAAAUUUUCUUUCUUCUCUCGGGAUAAGUGAGGAGGAUGGGACAGCGAUUUCCGUUUGGGGCAGCCGGCGCCCGCGCUGUCAACGGAUGAGUCGACGGUAGAAGAUAAAGGAGAAAUCCUCAAAUGACUCCGGAGGUCCGAUCAUGUCGCCGGUGGCGGAAGGGGACUUGGAGGCGGUAGAGCGGGAGAUCAUGCGACGGGACUCGGCCUCCCCGACCGUCGAAAAUCGGAUGCUCUUCGAUGGCAGAGACCACUCAAAUACUUUCUUUGAUCCGCUGCUCUAUCAAAGGCCCUAUCAUCGUCGGCACUCUCCGCCAUUCAUCGUCGUCGUCAUCAUCCUCCUCCUCUGUGUUCCCCUCGGCGAACGCAAUCCAGAUCGGUGCCGCCCUUUCAAAAACGGCGUCACGUUGUGCAAGAGACAAAAAGAGGAGGAGGAGGAGGAUAAACCCCAUAUUAGUCCCUUUAGUUUAGUCUGGUUCCACAUUAGUCCUUCUACUUUUAAUUGCAGCAAUCAAAUCCCUCAGGUUCCCCUUUAAUCCCAAUUAAGUCCUUCCAUUAGUCCUCGUAUAAAGAGCUAACAGAAAAUAAAUAAAAAUAAUUAUUUACAGCUGACAUAGCAGUCUUUUGAAAUAAAAAAAAAUAUGUUAUGACACUCAAAAAAAUUUUUGUUGUCAUUUUUGUCCUAUUAACUAAAUAGAAUGAGUUGCAACAAUUUUGUCCCAUUUUCAAAGAAAGAAUAAGCGAAACCGAGGAUCAAAAAAUAGAAGGAAAUGGCGAAGGAAAAGAUAAAUCAUGAUGAGAAUUGUUAUUAUGGAAUGAGAGCUCAUAUUCACACAUCUUGGACCGGUACAAAUCUAAGAAGAAGAUUUCUUAGAUGUAACAGAUACGGGGUUUGUCUCUCUAUCUCACUCCCAUAUUUAUUCUAUUUGUUCUGUAUAUAUUUGAAUCAACUUUUAUCUAUUUAUUUUGUAUCAUGCUUAAAUCAACUUUUAUGAGCAUAUGUUUGAAUUCUUGUGCGAUCAUAUUUGUUCUGUAGAUGAGCAUAUUUAGGAUGAGGGAUGGGACUUUAACGCGACGUUAGUAAAAAAUUGAAUCUUUUAAAUGCAAGGCUCAUAUUUGAAUUUUUGCUUUAAAUUUUUUUCUUCUGAUCUAUAAAACAUCAAGGCAAAACAAAUUAAUUUAAGGUCUAUCCAUAAUAAUAUUGUAAGAUUUUUCGAUUAUGCUACAGAUGGUAUAUUCUUUAUAUGAUUAUUAUCAGCAACACAUAAGGACUAAUUCUAAUUAUUUGUCAGCAACACUUUUCUAACCAAUUCCACUAAAGGUGAAGAACUUGUACCAAAGAUAGACAUCAUUGUCUAAGAACUGAUUGCCAUUAAACCAUGGUUUGUAAGUAAAAAACAAAAUAUUCUAUCAUAAAGAAUAUAAAUAAAAAUAAUAAUAAAUAAUAGAGUGAAUUUUGAUGCAUGCACCUUGCAACAGGACCAUAAAAUUCAUAUUGUCAAAUAAUUUUUUUUACCUCUAUUUUUUUCGAAUAUUUGUUGCAAAAGUUGCUGGUUUCGUUACUAAUAGAGAUAUUUUUGGUUUGAUGAUUACAUUUUUUUUUUUUUAAUUUUUAUUGGUGGGGGGUGCAUGUAUUGAGAUAUAAGCAAUAUCUUAGCAUAUUCUGUUAGCCUCCAUCCAUGGGGACUAACAAAAAGACUUAAUUAAGACUAAAAGAAAAUUUAAGGAAUUUGGUUGCUACAAUUAAAACUAGAGGGAGUAAAGUGAAAUCUAGGGUAAACUAGAGGGAUUAAUAUGAGGUUUACCGCGCCCACAAUAAAAAAAUUAUCCCAAAUUCCGCGAUCGAUUGAAGAUUUCCACCGGCGAUUUCUUAUUCUCUGCGACGUGUUGAGCUGUUGUUGAGCUGGUCCAACAUGACGUGGUGGACCUGGUUCAACCAAUAAUUUUUCCGUUCUUACAACCACAGUCAAGUGAAGUGUCGGUCUUCCACCCUUCCCCACUCCCCAUUCUCACCUCCCUUUAUAUACACCUCCAUAUCCCUUCUUCCUUCCUCCUCCGCCUCCCUCUUUCACCAGCCCCUCUUCCUUUCUACCAGCCAGCGGGCGGGAGUUCUCGGGUCCCCGAGAUCUCGCCGGAAUUCUCCCCGUGAUCGCCAUAAUCUGCUAGCAUCUGGCGUUGAUCUCGCCGGAACCAUGGCUUCCGGCAGAUACAUGCCCUACUCCCCCUCCCCCUCCACCGCUCCUCAGUCCCCUCACAUCUCCGGCAUACGCUCCGCCACAAGCGCGUUCGUCGAGCAGGAGAAGUAGGCCUCUUCCUUCCGCCUAAAACCCCGAGUUUUGGUUUGGAACGAAUAACCUCUAAUCUUGUGCUUUCCUCUCAUCUUUCUUGUUUUUCCAAUUAUUUUGCGAAUAGAUCCAUGGAGUUGCGGAUCUUUCUCGUUUCUUUAGUAGCAGUUGCUUGCUAUUAAAAAUUUGAUCUUGUUGCGAUCUACGCAUGUUAAUCGUGUUUUGAAAUUUGACCGUCGGUGUUCUGGCUUUAUUGCAUUUGUUGAUGCAAAGUGAUCGCAGAUCACGGGCAAAAAUAUUUGCAGCUCUUUCGUGCUCAUUAGUCUUGCAUCGCUGUUGUUUUCAGUUGCGUUUAACUGCGUUUUUCUGUAUCUAAUGGAAAAUAGAUGGUUUUGGUGAACUCCGUAAAUUGGAAACACUUGGUUUGGGAGAUGAAUUUCCUGUUUUAAGUCUUUGAGAUGGUUGAUUAGCAAGAUAUGAUUUUUAUGGUUUCCUAUGUGAGAUUCCCUGGUUUGAUGCUUUUCUUUUGCGAGAUCUGUUACUUCUUAUUGAAAUGAAUGCUGGCAUAGAUGGCUUCUUUGUAUUGAUAUUUUCUUUCUCUUUUUAAUAUAUUUUCAAGGAUCUACCUCUGACCUUGUGAGCAAUGUUUGAGUUAUGUGCUCUAUCAAUCAGGAUCCUUAGUCUGGGAGCUGAAUUCCUUGUGUGUCAGGACUUUGGAACGGUUUAUUAGCAGGAUUUAAUUUUUAUUUUUUUCUUGUCUGAGAUUCGCUAGUUUUAUGCUUUUCUUUUAUAAGAUUGACACUUCUGAUUGAAAUGAACUUUGGUUGGAUGGCUUCUUUUUCUAAUGUGCUUGUGAAGGAUCUAAAUUUUGGGGCAUUUGUGAGCAUUUUGAGUUUUGAAUUCCUUUGCAUACAUUUAUUAAAUAAUUUUAUAUUUGCAAUCCCAUCUGCUUCUAUUGAUUAUGGUGAGAUCUGUGAGUUAUUGUUUCAAGCUGCUAAAGGGAAAUAUUUUUAAGUUCUAUUUUCAUAUACAAUGACAACUUCUUGUGUAGUUGUGUCAAGCAUCAUGAAGAAGGCUUUCAAUUAUGAUGCCACGAGUCACUUUACGUGGCAGAAGAAAAAUAGAAACUGAUAAAGAUGCCCCAUUUUUGUGCAUGCAUUUUUAUUAUUCUUAUAAUAACUAAAUAAAGAUAGAUCCAAGGAAUCAAAUAUCGGUGUGGGCUGGUCUAUACUAGCCAUACCAAUGUGUGUCGGUCCGUAUUGGUUGUACUGGAUCAUAUCGAUAUGAUACCUGUAUCCAUACAAGGGGCUUAAAAGUACCACAUUGACACGUGGUGUUUCACAUCCAAUUUGUCAUUGCAACACAUAGAGGUAUUGUACUAGUCUGUAUCAUACUAAUAAGGUACUGAUGUGGGUACCAAUACUAGUGCUUUAAUCCUUAGAUAUAUCUAAGGCCAGAGCAUCUAUUGAAGAGACAAUUUGAAUUUAAUUUAAUUUUUUUCUGGGUGCUUAUUAGUCUUGCAUGAGUGCUUUUUUCUUCAUUUACCGUCAAUUGUAUGUACAUAUUUUAGCUAUCUAAUAGAAUGAUAGAUGAUAAAAUGGAGUUAUAGACGUCAAUUGUAUGUGCAUAUUUUACUGUCAGUUGUUAUUAUUAAUAUUGAUAUCAUUGUCAAAAAUAUUACUAUCUUUAUUAUUGUUUUAUUGUGCUGAGUGUAUUUUAUUAGUUAAAACAUACUAACAAUAUAUUGCGUCUGCAUAUGCAGCCCACAUAUUGCACUAGUGCUAUGCGAUCCCUUGAUCAGUCACAUGUCACAGCCACUUUAAACUAUUGCAUGUAAUAUCUAGAGAGAUGUAAAACUAUAAAGCAUCUGCAAAAGAUUUCUUUUAUUAGCUUCAAAAAAUAUUUCCUCAAAGAAAGUAAACUUUUUUUUUUUUUUCAAAAUUUCAUUUUGUUCACAUUGUUGAGCAUAUAAAUUCUUUGUUUACUUCAAAUUUUGAAUAUUCUCUUUAUUUACUAUUUGAUGAAGCAAGGACAGCUUGGUGUUACUUAAAAGUUGAAAUCUGAAAUAUGAAAAAACUAUAAAAUACAAUAUUGUUGUGAGACAUUUUUCAUUUAAUAAUUACAUUUGCUCUAGGAUUGGACAACCUUUCUUUCAUCAUUAAAGAACUAUGAAUGAUCUUAAGGAACCUAUUGGUUAUUUGAUCAAUCAUAUGGAGAAAUGUUUUAUUGCAGAACUAUCAAUUCAUUCCCAUAUUUGUGAUGUAUUGUGUUACCUGGACACCUGCAUCUGACUUCAAAAAUCCAUAUCCAACAUGUAUUCAAGUUGGAUAUGUGUUUGACACUUGGAUACUUAUGAAUACUUAUGAAUAUCUAUGAUUGUCACCUUUAAAGAUUGGUAAAAAGUUAAACUCUUCCAACAAUGAGUUUGAUCCUCUCCGUAUUCAUUAUUUUUAGUGAUUGACCAAGAAUUUUAGUAUUGAAAUAACUUUGCAGAUGUUGUUUUGAAUGAGAAAUAUGUAUAUUGAAAGAACUUAACAAACAAUAUCUUAAUAUUUAUUUUUAAUAUUAAACAAACAAUAUAAAAUGUACUAGUAUUUAUGGUUAAGUUAAAAUUAAAAUUUAUCCUAUGUAUCCUUGUAUCUCCUUUUUCCUUGUUGUUGAGUCAGAUGCUUGGAUAUGCAUCCAAAUCCGAUUCUCAUAUCCAUGUCCAUGCAACAUUGGUCAUGUGAUGUUGUAGAAGGACUCUCGAUGGUACUGCUAGGUUAUAAAAGGAGUGACAAUGAUGUUUGGAAUCAAAGGGUUAUGGGGGCAAUUUUGGCAGAGGGUCCUAAAGUAGUAGUUAUUCUUAGUGUGAGUCCAGAAGAGUUGAUAGAAAGAUGCUUUUUAAAAGAAUGACAACACUUUAUGUAGGUGUUAAAUGAUGGUACUUAGGGUUCAAUUGAGGGAUGGAGAUCUAUGUGUGUUAAAAUUUCAUGUGGCAGAAUCUAAAUGGAAAGAACCAAUGUUCAUUAUUGAUUACUAAAAUGGGAGAGACAACAGUAAUGGGUAAAUCUUGGCUCUAAACAUGGCAGUUGAAGAAACCCUAUAAUAAUAAAGGAAAAAAAACAGAUUUUGGAGAGAUAUACAUCCUAAAUGGGGAGGAAGAGGGGAUGUAGUUGCUGAUGAUGACAUUGGACCAUGGGAGAUAUAAGGGGGUUCAAUGGUUAGAACAUGGUGAUCUCUGAAUCAGCUGUGACAAUAGAAGAAACAAACACCAUUGAGAUGGGUGAAGAUGAAUGCAUGGAUAAGAAUGAAAACAUAUGCAAUUCAUCUGUAUCUGUGAAACCAGCCAGUUAUUCUCAUUCUGAAUAGUUUUGGUGAAAUUCAAAUUUUCUUUAGACAAAUAUGUUCCUCUAAAUUUGAGGAAUCUUUUCGUUGCAUAAUCAAAGUUCAAUUCUUCUUUUUCCCUCAUAUGAGCAAAUUUAAUUUCAUGAUUAAUAAAUUUGUCCACUGUUUGCAUGAGAAAAUUCCGGUAUUCCAUUUCCCCUUUUCUUUAUGGCAUAAAAAAGUUAAUGGUGAAAUUCACUGUUUUCCUUCUCUUGUUCUAACCUUCCUGUGUAACUAGCUCCAUCCCCCUUUCCCUUUCCUUUCGUCUCUCCAUUUCAACAGCCUUUGGCCCCAUUUCAACAGCCUCUCCACACAAGGAGCUCUUAGGGCACUGGGAUUUUGCUGGAAUUCUCCCCAUAAGCACCACAAUCAGCCAGAAUUUGGAAUUGCUCUUGCUGGAAUCAUGUCUUCCAGAAGGCACAUCGCCAUUCCCUGUCCCCAGCCACUGUGCCCCAUUGCCCUCUUACCUCUGGCAUGCUCUGUGCCAACAUCAUGCUUAUUUGGCAGGAGAUUGGCUGUUCCAUUCUCCCAAAACCCCACGUUUUGCUAAAUAUAAAAAGCUUUGUUCUUCUAUUUUUCUCCUUUAAUUAGAAAUAGCAAUCUUCAUUGUAUCUUAAUUAGCAAUUUCUUGCUGUAAGGUCUUGUUAUUAAGUUUGAACCAUGUUCCUGUCUACAUAUCCUAGUACAGUUCAGAAGAUUUGGAUGUCAGGGAUCAGGGGUAUGUUUUUAUUUCAUUGUUAAUGCAAAGAGGUUGCAGAUUAUGGGAAAAAUUUGACAAUUUUUUCAUGCUUAGUAGGCUUACAUCAUGUUUUCCUUCAAGUUCCUUUAAUUGAGUAUCGCCUAUAUGUAGAAUUUUAGUUGUCCACUAGAUGGUUCUGGAGUUUUUUUUCCCCUCUAAUUAGAAUACUUGGUCUUUUGGAGGUGAAUUUGUGCUUCGAGGCUUUUGAAUAGUUUAUUAGAAACAUUUAAUUUGUAUGCUUUCUUGUUGAGAUUCUCUAAUUGAUGCUGUUCCUUUACAAUACUGAAUACUUUUGGUGGGAACUACUUUUGGCCUAGAUAGUUUUUUCUUUCUGGGAUCCAAGUCUUUUGAUAUUGUUAGCUUGUUUGCAUAAUUUAACUCUCUUGUAAAGCGUGCUUAAAUGGGGUAGGUAAAUUUCUUCACAGGUAUCUAGCAGAGUUGCUCGCAGAGCGUCAGAAGCUUAGCCCUUUUACGUCAGUACUGACCCACUGCUAUCGAUUGCUGAACCAGGGUGUGUUUUCAAACAAUAUAUUUUUUUCAACAUUUUGGCAAGAUCUAUUAAAAUGAAUUGUUUUGGUAUUCGCAACUCAUGACUCUUGCGUUUUCUUUUUCUGAUGCCAUGUCCUCCCACAGCUUCCCUAGUCCGACUUAAUAAACUGAAUUUUUCUCCCAUCAUUGUUCUUGUUGUGUGGAAAUAUGGACAUGUUUCAAGCAUAAAGUACAUUGUGUUCUAUAAUCUGAAAAUUGUAAAGGUUCAAUUGCAGUUCAAAGAAUGAUAGCAUGGCCGAUCUGUUCUCCUUAUUAGAUGGUGCUUUCUUGUUUCUAAUUGUAUGAGUGAUUGUCUCUGUAGAAUGUGGCAGAGGGAUCACAUAUUCAACUAAUAUAUAUGAAUGAAAAAGGCAAAUAAUUGAAGUAUCUUGAAUGCACUCAAGAGUUUAUGUUUCAUAAAUUAGAUUAAUAUUUCUUAGUUGAGAAAGGAGUUGCUUAGAGGCUCUAGUGCUGUGAAGAAAUCAGAUAUAGAGGUGUUAUUUGCAUAAAAGAUAUAUAGAUUGUUUUGGGCAGAUAAUGUCCUUAUAAGGCACUGUAUGAACAUUUUUUGCCUUGUCGAUGGUUGCAAGUAAGGUGGUUCAUGUGGUGAAAUUUCUUGUUUAUCCUGAGGCCCAUCUUGGCAUGUGAUCUUGCAUAUGACAAAGAAUGAAAUAUUUGUUGGAUUCAUGCUUGUAGCUGAGCCUGUUGCAAAGGAACUGGAUACCUGACACUUUGAGAUUAUCAGUCAUACCCAGCAUAUACUUAAACAGAAAGAAGUUAAGGUGUUUGCCCCGGUCACUUUGCAACAUUAAAUGUUCAUAAAGAAUUACCUGUGUCAAUAGAACUACGGUAUGCGAUAUAUGCUAUUUUGUGAUUUCUUGUUAAUGCAAUGACCAUGAGGAACUUUAACGCAUAUGAAGAUGUUAGGAAUGGUGCAUCCAGAGUUUGGGUCCUGUGCCUAUUGUGUACUGUGUGAUGAUUUGUAAACAGCUCUCUUAAUCUUGAAAAUGGAGGCCCUGUCAAAACUUCUAUACUGCCACAUUCUGUUGCGAAAUUUUGGCAGUUUGUCUCCUUGCUAUGGAUAAUCCUAGAAAUGGGUAAUGCUGAUAAUAAUGAAUCAGGUAGUUCUAUGGCUAUGAACAUGAUUUUGGGUCUCUUGGAGUCUUAAGGUCGGACAUUGGUUGGGUGAAGGAAAACCAAGCCAUCGAUAAAGGGGUGAAUCUAAAAUAGAAGGCCCUAAGGGGUUCAGUGAUUUUAUAGUGCUAGAUAUAAGGAAGACAGUUUGAUGAAGAAGGGAUGUAAAGUACAUGGAGCUCAGCCAUCAAGCACUAUGUGGGAAACGAUGAUCAAGAAGGCUACAAAUGGGCAAACCAAAGUCAUGAUGUUCAAAUUUUAGAUGGACUCAUCAAAUGUUCAUUCAAUAAUCUUGAAAAUCUGAAAUAGGCGAGGGAUGCUCAAAAACCAUAAAAAAAUUCUGACAUAAUUAAAAAACUAUCAAGAGUUUGUGUGAAAGAUUUAAGAACAAGAAUAGGUGAAAUGGAAUCUUUGACAAAAAAAUGCAACAACCUAGCAAUAUAGCCAGGAAUGUGUACCUUAGGAUGCAUAAUUAACUAAAACAUGAAAUAUUUAGAAAUGUAUGCUUGACUGCAUAUAAAUUGUGUACCUUUCUUUUCUUCUAGUUGUAUAUAUCUUCAAAUAAGUUGCAAGGAGUAAGUUUGGUCUGACUCCAUGGAAAUCAUGAAUCACUAAUAUAGCUAGAACCAUUUCCCUUCACAUAUCUGAAAAUUUGGACUAUAUCAUUAUAAUUACAAAUUAUAUGUUAUAACAUGUAUAUGGUAGGCCAAAACCAAAAUUCGGAUGAUUUCAAUCAUGUAUUAAUGGAUGCAUCUUUAUGGACCAACAACCAAGAAUACAGAAUUUAUGCUCCAAGCAUCAUUUCCCUGAAAUCAGAAUAAGAUAGCUUCAGAACUAAGGGGGCCUGUGCUGGUUUCAUGUCCAAAUAAGGCAGCAAACCUAGUACAUUCUUUAGAGAACUAAAGAAAUAGAAAUUUAGAGCUUCAUCAAAUAAUGGCCUACAAUUGGAUUCUGCAGUGUUUUCGAGGUUGGUGGUAAGGGCCUUGGAAGCAUUGAAGAAUCAUGAUAUCAACAGAUGGUUUUUAAGUACUGACCCUUACUAGCUGGUAUGGCGUAUACUGGCAUUGAUAUAGGGCUCCAUAUGCCCCUGUACUAGCACCUAGUACAAGUGUUAUGCUGACUUCAAUAAUGUACCAUGUGUUGGUACGGCAAUGGCCGUAGUAAUAGGUGGUGCUUGGCGACCCAAGUGGGUCACUAUGGUGAUUUUAGAUCAUUAGUGAUCCUUAUCCUAGAGUAAUUUGAUCCUUGAUGAUCUAAGAUCAACAUGUUUGGUAUGUUAUAUUCUAGUGAUUAAAGAUCUUCGGUUAUCCAUGAGUAACCUAUUUGGUGUGCUAUGGGAAUCCGAGAUCACUUACCAUGUAAUAAUAGCAAAAAUACCCAUGAUAUAUUCCAUAUCUUUUGCAACUACUAAACUGAAUUCUUAAAUAAAUCAUAGGAAAAUACAAAUGAAUGGUUAGUGGUAGAUCGAUGCAAGUUAUAUGUAGAAUUAUUUAGACAGAUGAGUUAUAAUUUUGACAACAAAAUUAUUAAUCCUAUAAAAAUAUAUUAAUUAUUAUCAUAGUAUUAAUUAAUAAUUUCAUUUAUAAUAUAUUAUCAUUUUAUGUUGAUAUUUAUUUUGAUUAGAAAAAUAAGGCGAAUGGAAGUAAUUUAUUAAAUAUUGCAUAACAUAAAUAUAAAGUACAAUAAUGCAUUUCUACUAUAAUUAUAAAAAUGAAUAAUAAUAUAAUUAAUAAUAUAAUAUAUAUCACGAAUACUAUAUAUAUAAUAUCAAUAUAAUAAAAAAUAUUUAAUAUUGAUAUAAAAUAUUAAUGGUAUAUUGAUAUAUCAAUUUUUCUUAUUGGAUUGUGGGGUACUUUUGUCCUUGAAUUUCAGCACAAGAUCGCUACUCAUGAUGAUAUUCAAAACUGGUCCUCAAGGAUGGGUUUAAGACCAUUGAGUUGGGUAGAAAUUUAGGAGUCGGGUGAUUUGGUAUCACUGCUAUGUAGGAUUACUGUGGUGCAACCAAACACAGUGUCCGAUUACCUCCAUCCACAUCAUCCUUGAUCUUAGAGUCAUCACCCCAUAACAAAUGCCCUCAUAAGGUAUUGAUAUGGGCUUUAUGCUAGAACUUAAAAACAUUGAGCGGGAGCAAGCAUUGAUUAGGUUGCAAAUAUGCAAUAUACUAUUCUUUUGGGCAAUAGCCUGUUAUAAAUGAUUGCCAUGGGAACAUCAUCUUCUUUUGUAUAAUAUGUCAGUGCUAGCAUCAUAAAAUUACAAUAUGUAAGAUAUCAAUAUAAAUAUAUACAUUAGUAUCACUAAUAACGCAUUGUUGUGCUAUAGUAAUAUGCUAUUUUUGUGGGCAGUAAUGAGGCUGAGGGUGAGCCUUGGCGCCACAAUAUGAUUUCUCCAUAGUGACCUGGAGGUCACGGGUUCAAAACCACCUCGUUGUAUGCAGGGGUAAGGCUACAUUACAUCUGAUCUUUCCUAGACUCCGCAAUGGCGAGAGCCUAGUACACUGCCUCCCCUUAUGGGCAAUAGCCUGAUAUAAACAAUUGCCGUAGGAAUAUUUUCCUCUCUCAUAUAAUAUGUGAAUGCUGGCAUUGUCAAAUUAUUACAUGUAUGAAAAUAAUGCAAAAAAGCAUGCAAAAAAGCAUACAUCAAUAUCUCUAUCAAUGCAUUAUUCUGCUAUAUUAAUAUUUUGUAACUAUCAAGCUCUCCAACUUAAUUUGAUAAAGAUGUAUCUUCAACAAUGCAUUAUUCUGCUAUACUGAUAUUCUGUAACUAUCAAGAUCCCAAACUUAGUUUAAUAAAGUUUCCUGCAAAAGAUUAUAAAAGGCUGUUUUACCCGAUUUUCUCCAUUAGGUCUUCUUGAUAACAUUUUAUGUUUAAAGAAUACUCUUAUAUAACAGCACGUCAGUAAUCCAUCUGGUAAAACUAAGGAUUAACAUUGCUAACAUGCAAGUGCUAUUGCUCCAGUAUGAGCACACCAUGUUCAACUGCAACUUUCAAGAUGCAGAUUCCGAAGCACUAAAAGACUGCAUGUGAUUCAUAUGAGAUGUGGUGGCGAGGUUAUCUUAUGGUGGAAGGAAUUGGGAACUUUUGUUUUGUUGGAUAUUACUGGGCUUAAUUGGCAAUAGCAAAAAACUGAAUUUCGUACUUUUAUAGCCGCUUCAGGUGUUGGGAUUUUUUUUAAUCUAGUUGUUUUAGAAAACUCAGGAGGAUUUUAUAAUGUUAAUUUUUUUUACUUAUUAUUAUCACAGUUGCUAUAUCUAGAUUUUUGUCAUCUAAUUGAGAAGUCACGCGAUGUUCAAAAUCACGUCACCCUCAAGUGAAAAACAUAAAAAUUCACUGUCAGAUAUUUUUUUUUAUAUAAAAUUAAUAGGCUUGUAACUUCUGCAGAGUGCAAAUUGGUGCUUUUGGUCCUAAAUGUGUUUUCAAAGUUUUUUUCUUUUGCCAUUUUCAUUUACUCUUAGACAGUGCCUUGUCGUUAUAUUAGGAUAAUGAAUGUUUUUCUAAGUCAUAGCAUACAUAGCAUAAGGUUUGUAUGCAUUGGCAAAUAUCUAGUUCACAUAUAUAUGUCGGAUUGUUUUAUUAUGCAAUGGGAUUGAACAGUCUUAGUUGUGCUACUCUUUUUUGUAAUUUAAGGAACAGUUUUAAUAUUAGUUAAUAUAGUGCAUUAUUUCCCAUGCAGCAAUUAAAGCCCUUCCAUUUUUUAAGAAUGGUAUUACAUAUUUCUAUAUACAUGAUAUUUCCUUAUCUAGCAACCUAUUGGAUCUUCAACAAGCGAAAUCUGAGUUUUCAUGACUUUAGUUUUUUUUUUCUUUUUUUUCUUUUUCCAAAAUUGUAAUUACUAUAUAUUUAGACUGAUGUAGUACUGAUUUCUGGGCACCAAUUCAAUUAACCCAUGCCUGUCCAUUUACUGCUAACUAAUUUCUUAACAAAAGCUAACUGGUACAUCUUAUGCCUGGAAUUAAAUUUGUGGAGCAGAAAUUUUGCGUGUAACCACACUGUUGGGGAAUGCCUCUCUUUUAGAUCAAACUGGGCUUGAACAUGGUAGCCCGCUGACCACUGGAGGACUGUUUUCAAAUGGAGGAGCAGCCGAUAUGAAUGGGUGGGCAUCACCAUUUCAACCAGAAGUACGGAUACUAACCGUUAACAUAACUCUUUUUUGCAUCUAAUUUACUGCUCACCAGAAGCGUUUCUGACAUAAUUUCUUGCAAUUCAUGCUAACCUGAAUUAACUGUCUUGAUUGAGCGGUUGCAUUCUUGACUUAGCAUUUACAGUUUGCUGACUUAUAUUAACUAUCUUUUUUUGAGCAUCUGUUCCUUGAUAUAGGUUCUUACAUUCAUUUGAAGUUGAAAGUAAUUCUUGUAAUGUAUCAAAAAAAAAAAAAAAAGAAGUAAUAGUUCUAAGCAUGAUCCUAUGGAAUAGAAUAUUAUUUCUCUUACUGGUUUUGUAACACAAACAUUUAGAACCAGUGAGUCUGUUGACCUGGUGUUAAGCAUAUUUAUCCUUCACCCCUUUUCUUCUGUUACAUUCUCUAACUUAUAUUAUGGCUUCGUGCUGCCUGUCAGAACUGUAUCCCUAAAUGUUAGGUUUGGUUGGCCAUGAAGUGCAGCAGCGUAUGUAGUUACUUUCUGAACUACAGUAGUAGGAUCAAGUUUUGUUAUCUUAGUAUUGGGAUAGCCAAUUGCUUCUCUUUAUAGCCUGAAUUUUUGAUAACUAUGUAGUGGCUAUUUUUGGUCUUCAUUCCUAGUCCUUUUGCAAGGUGAACCUGAGCCUUACCAUAUGUUUUCUAGAAGUAGAAUGCAUCUGAGCCUUUCUUUCUUAUGCACCAGAAUUAAUAUGCUUUGCGAAUAUGAGCUUUUCUGUCAUCUUCUUCUCACGUGAUUUUGAGCUGCAACUGUCUUUUUAACCUUAAUAAUGUAUAGUUAUGUUUGUACAUGCAUAUCCGAUACUUGCACUCAAUCUUGUAGAAGCCAAACAUAUGAAAGACACAUCCUGAUAUGGAUAUAUACUUCUUUUAAAUCUAUUUGUUGUUCUUCAUAUUAUUUUAUGUAACAACACCUUUACUAAAUUGCAGAGGUUAGGAUUGUUACAGCCUUCAUCAGCACAUGGCUGGCUUGGACCACAAGGCAGCUCCUCAGGUCUCAUUGUCAAAAAAACUAUCAGGGUUGAUAUUCCUGUGGACAAAUACCCAAAUGUAUGCAAGAAUCUUUCCUUUCCUCUUUAAUCUUUAUUACGUUUGACCGCAUUCAUGAAUUCUUUUAAGUUGUUCCACAGUACAACUUUGUUGGGCGGCUCCUUGGUCCUCGAGGAAACUCUCUCAAGCGAGUGGAAGCAAGUACUGAAUGUCGCGUCCUAAUUAGAGGUCGGGGCAGCAUCAAAGAUCCUGCACGGGUAAGAAGUAUGCUUUGAUUAUUAUUGAUUCUACAUCCAGGCAUCCCUAUUAAUCUCAGUGUGCAUUUACCUAUGUAAAACAACCAUAAUUAGAUACCAAAGGAAGUUGAUGCAAACAAACAAGCAGAAAUUAAAAUGUCCAUUUAUGAUUUUGAAGAUCUAAGCAAAUCAGCUAAAUUCAACUAGAAAUUAUAUUACAUUCCUGAAAAGUUAAUGUGAAUGCCAUAUAGCAAAUCUAUAAAUCCUGAAAAGUUAAUGUGAAUGCCAUAUGGCAAAUCUAUAAAUUGGACUUGGAAAUAUGAUGCCAUGUCUAGCAAUUUUGUUAUUUUCUAAAUUAGUGUUCAUAAUUGGGGAAGUGUUUGAGUUCUAAGAUGCUUCUGAAGUGAAAUUUUUGGCUGCCAUAUCUAAUAGAGAAACAGAUGGUUGGUUAGUGCAUUUGCAACAAUCUGAUUUGAUCAUGCAGCAUCAAUUCACAUUUAUAAUAGGAGACACUAAACAUUUAUUAUUGGAUCACUCCUAGCUAUAGGUUGUUUCUCUUUUUCUUACACACUCGUUGACAUUGUUCCUUGUGAGCAUAUAGUUGUGAACAAAAAGAUGCUAAAAAAAUUUAGAGCUUGUUGAUCUACAUGUGAGGUUAGGAUAACAAUACCGUUCCCAACAUCUAUAUAUGCUGAUGCUAUAUAAUAAAAGAAAAACAUUUUUUUUUAAAGUUUUGUUCUUGUAUUUUUGUCCAUACCUACAAUUUGAGGUUAUUAGAUGGUGAGAGUUUUUUUAGUUAGCCUACCGGUAGAGCUAUAAAAAGCUCGGCAUUUUGAUGAUGGUUUAUUAUGAAAAACAGAUCAUUCAUUUGUUUGAUAGUUUGUGACAUGUGGACUUCAGGAGAUCCUAGUUUAAUGAUAUUGCUAUGAUACAAAAAAUUCAACCCACCCCUUUUUCUGAUCUGCUCAUAUAUGACUUCAGUAUAAUGAAGAGUUUUGUAUCUUUACUAGUAACAAUGAUAAGAGUUUUUACAAGUGAAUGGAGCAAACAGCAAUAUGUAAUUGAAUUGGAUACCCUUGAAAUGACUUUGAUUUAUUCACCCUCAAAACACUCUUUGCUUGACAAGUUUUUCAUGUGUCUUAUCCUUGAUAUAAGAGGUCUUGUUCUCCCCUACUCUUUUUGGCACAACCCGUUCUUAUAUAUUGCUAAAUGCAGGAGGAAAUGAUGAGAGGAAAAUCAGGGUAUGAACAUCUGAAUGAACCCCUUCACAUACUAAUAGAAGCAGAGUUGCCGGUUGAAAUUGUUGAUGCUCGCUUGAUGCAAGCUCGUGGCAUUCUUGAAGACCUCCUGAAGCCUGUGGUAUUGCUUCCUUUCCCUGCAUCCAAAAACUAAUUCUCAUUUUCCUCAUCCAACUAGUUUUUAGCUACCAGAAAUUCCAUCAUGAUCGUGUUUGUCACACAACCCUCUGUUUUUUCCACAGGAUGAAUCCCUAGAUUUCUUCAAGAAGCAGCAGCUUAGAGAGCUUGCCAUGCUCAACGGGACACUCCGUGAAGAAGGUGCACACACAUCACCUUCUGUCUCCCCCUUCCACAACAGCCUCAGCAUGAAGAGGGCCAAGACGAGGGGUUAGAUCGAGUGAGAUUGCCUUCUUGCUGGCCCUCUCUCUGUGGGCCCUCUGUUACUGCCCUGUUACAGCCAUAUCUCCAUUAAAGGUUGCCUUGUCAAAUCCAUGCUCUCGUAUACUAAUCUGUGCAAUGGGGUGAAGGCACGCUCUUACUCGGGUUCUGUCUUAGAGUGCAUGUCCCUGCUAAUGGGGGAGGUUUGAUGGAUAUGGGAUACAGACAGCAAACCAUUUUGGGUUGUGGAAUCUGCCUAUGUUUGUACCGUACUAAGUGAAGAACAGAAAUCUGUCCUUGUGAUCGUAAUAGAGUUAUAUAUGCUUGUGUUUUUUUUACAGUUUUGAUACCAUCAUAGGUGUUGUAUAGAAAUAAUCAGUGAGUUUGUGUAUAAAGCUGUGAGACAGUAGUCCGUAGUCACCCAAAGCAGGUCUGGGUAAUUGAGCGUCCUCAAUAUUUAGUGGUCCAAAUCUCAUUUAUGUUAGCGGUUUCCUGGUGCAUGUAUCUCUGAAUGCAGCUUAUUAAAGGUCAUAGAUUGUCUGUUUAGGAAAACAAUCUCAUUGGAUGUUGCUUUUGCCGUUAAUGUCUGAUAGAAACAUGAGUGGAACAGCGUUGAAGUCACCUGAUAUGUUGAUUGAUGCGCAUUUCUUUACGCAGAAUUCUGCAUAGCCGUUCCAUGUGUUUGGAGGGUAUGUACCUUAAUCUGCGGUGGCAUUGUUUAUGGUAGGACUGAAGCACAUAAAAGCACACAAUGGGACUGAAACUAAGAAAUCAAAUGACCAAGGCAAUGGAGCUCAGGAAUAUUCAAACUGCAUCCAGAACUGCGAAUUUGCUAUAUUCUUUGACUCCUUAGCGAGGGACCCCCUUAUGGUGAUCAUCAUUUGACAAACUUGAUCAUGUGAGGAGCAGUGCAGGAGUGUUCCCGGCCAUUGCCGGAAAUUUUACUCCAAGUGAUUAAGCCGGCCUCCACAAACAGUAUUAUGAUCUGUCAAAUGUGAUUAGGAGAAAGUCAUCGGUCGUUGCAUGAGUCAUUAAUAGGAUGAGGUUACUCUAAAUUGGUCGGGGGUGGGGGAAGGGAGGGAGGGUAAAUGCCUUACGAUGGCUUUGUUGCUCACUUGGGUGGUGUAUUCAGGGCCUGAGUUCAGAAAUUUGUGAUGUGUCACUCAAGAAUUUCUGGUUUCGUCCCUCUACGAGGAAAGAAUCCAGAUUGGAUUUGGAGGGAUUAGAACAUUCUCAUUCUUUUCUAGAUUCAAAAUAUGAAUGAAACUUUUUUCAAUCAAACAACUCCAAUAGAAAUCAUUUAUCCCUACCAUUUUAAAGUCCAAGUCCCUCCAACCAAAUAUGCUGUCACCCUAUUUAUAGUAUCUGCAAAAAGUAGGAUAUGAAUCUUGAUGCAUUUGUUACAAAAACACAGCUUUAAUAGCAUCACUGCUUACCUUGACAAUGUUUUUCAUAUAAAUUGAUACAGGGAACAACAGAACAUGAUAUGCCCCAAUAUGUUUCAAUUUUUUUAUCCAAGUCUAGUACUAAAUGAGUCUUAAACGGCAGCAAGCUCGCUGUUUUAACAAGCCUUCAGAUAACAUUUAGGUUGCGUUUGAUGCAUAGCAAUUUUGAAGAGCAAUGUGGAUUCACUUUAAGAUAGACUAUCACUGUUAAAUUAUUAAUAAUAUUGAUUAUGAUGUUUGAUACAUAUGAAUAAUAUUACAGUAAAAUUAUUAAAAAUUUUGAUUGACAUGUUUGAUAUUACAAUCAGAUUAUGUAAAAUCAAAUUCUCAAAAUACUUCGAAUAAUAUUAUUUUAAUAUAUUUUUUUUUGAUGAAAAAUAAUGAAAGUGAUGCAGACGUGAUAGUGAUGCGAAAAAAUGACGGACCGAGAGAUGUGAGAACUGCGAGCACUUGGGGAGGACAUGUGUGGAGAUGUAGAGAUAGUGGGGAUAGAUGCAGAGGAACCACUAGAGGAUGGAGGAGCCGUGAACAAGCAAAAAAAGAUGGAAGAGCUGUAGGCUGAAGGCGUAUGCGAAGGAGGGUCGGAGAGAGGAGAGAGGGAUGGACAAUAUAUUUUGUAUGAUUUUUUAAAAAUAAUUUUAUUUAAAAUUUUUAUUACAAUAUUAUCAAGAAAGUGAUAAUCUGGAUAGCUACUCCUUCCCACGACAAUUUGAAUUACCACUCAAAAAGUAAACCAAAUGCAGUAAUUCAGAUUACCAUAUUAAAUCGCCAGCAAUUUGGAUAGAUUGCUGGCUAUCAAAUGCAACCUUAGUAAUAAGCUAUGCACAUCACAUCAUCAAGUAAUUAAUGACUUAGGAUUGGACCAUUAACUACCAUGAUUACAAGAUUAGAACUGCAAACACAGGAAUUCAUUUGCUAUCUUUUCCUGUGAUGGAUGACACAUAAAAAUUCUAAAGAUAUCGAGACCAGCAUGCAUAAAUACCCAAACGUCUAGCGAUAACAACUAAAAUAUAAGUUUAUGAGAAUACUAGAUACGGUUUCAUGUGUGAUUGUGGAAUUCUCCUGAUCCGUUUGUAGUAGUUGAAACAUUCUUCCUUCGGAUGUAAUACAGCACGACUGCAGUCCCUCAAAGACAAACAUAACACCAAUCACUAUAACAUAGACAUAGAUGACGCUUGCUGGGAGAUUAUCAAGGGGCUUUAAUAAGUGUUUUAGGUUUUCUAUCAGAAAUAGCCAUUGGUUCAAAAGCAACUUUCAUUACCUCUAUGAUCAUGAUAUACGAGUGUCUGUAGAAUCAACCUAACUUAUGGAUAUAAAGAUUAUUUUGAUACACCCUUGCUCUCCAUAUCAUAGGUUAAUGGGUUAACCGACCAUCCAAAGGGAAAGUUCUCAUCAUCAUCUCUUUUUUUUUUUGACCUUCUUUAAGCUAUAACCAUCAUACGAGUGCAGCCCAAAUCCAAUAAAAGUUAAAACUAUAUCAAUGGUAGCAAUUCUAGAAUUCCAGCAGGCAGCAGAUAUUGAGAAAUUCUUUCUAAAAAAUAUCAGCAGCCUAUUGUUGAUAUCUGGUAUCCAGAUGCUGAUCUCCAGUAGACAGUUCCAGCAUUAAAAAAACCAAAUCAUAGAUGAUUUCCAGCAUCCAGAUAAUUAACACUAAUCAAUUCAUUUCCUGCCUUUGUGUUGCAAUGAUCAUGCUCAUGCAUUUCCCGUGCUAUCAGAGCAACAAUGAUGCCAAGGCCAGCAAGUUAAAUAUUGCACAGCAACGUAUAGUAUUUUGUAUAACCACAAUCAAUCAAAUCGUAACUUAAAUUUACCAAAAUUACCUGUGACAGGUUACAUAAAUACUUUCACGAUUAAGCACGCAAUUCUGCUAACCACAAAUCAUGGAAAUGAAUCUCAGAUAUCCCAUUUCAUGUAGCAUCGAUCAUUCUGUAGAUCCAAAUGAACUUAUCAUCCUUUUAAAAAUAUUAUACAUAAUGAGACAUUAAUAUUUGCAUGAUCAAGCAUCCUGUCUCACCCUUCAAAAUAAAACAGCUGUCACUUGCAGCAGUGUCACAGCAGGCAUCUUAAUGAUUUCAUGACACUAUGAUGACUCUUUAGAUCUAGUCUUUAGAUCAUCUAUUGUGACAGUUCACAAAUCACCUCAACCCGAAACCCCAUUCACUUAAUGUAAUAGCAUAAACAUAAUGAACCGACUGUCCUCUUUGGAAAGGAGAAUGUUGGUUUCUUCCUCCACAAUUUAUCUAUUAAAAUGUUGUCACCAUGUUUAUAAUUCAAGUUUUUGACCUCUGUAAACUUUAGUUGGAAUCUACCUGAAAAAAAAUAUGCACCUAGAUGUGGGAAACGCUAUUCCUGAAAACAGUAUUACUGUGUCAAGGCAGCUAGACGAGUCUUACAGCCAGUAUGUGCAUGCGAGCAAAAAAAAAUAACUCCAAAAGGCAACUAGUUGCAAAAAUACACAUCAAGAUUCAUAUUCAGCAUUAGAUAUCGUGCUUCAAAAUACCUUUCACAAUCAAAAGGUAGGCGACCAAUUCAAUCCUACAUACUAUUGAUAAAUAUAAUAAAACACCCACCAAUUUCCAUGUGUAUGCACAACACAUUGACAAGCUUUAGACACUGUACUAACUAAGCAAUGUACUGAUUUUAAAGUUGAACGUCUACUAGCCCCAGAAGAACAGUUCUUUAAAUUAUGAAGAAGUCAACAUAAUCUAAGGGGCAACCUAUAUGGUAAAACAAGUUCGUGUGCAUUUGCAAACCCAAAGACAUCCAUCAGGCAAGAAAUAAACUGUUUGAGACCAACCAAGCAAUUGAUACUUUCCUAGCUUCCCUAUUCCUCGAUGUAAAAUAAUGCAACUAAGUGCCAAAAUGGCACCAACAAUUACACUAGAGAUCACUAGGAGAAAACUGAAAUCAACAGGCCUCUUUCCCCACCUCAAUCAAUGAUUCCAAUAAACUUCGCUAAUUGAAACUAAAAAUCAACAAGCAAGUAGGUAAUAUUCCAUGAGUAAAAGGCACAGUCUAAAUUACCAUCAGUUGUAAGAUAAAGCACACAAUAUGGAAAACUUGCAUUUAUAACAUGCCUCAUACUAUGUUACGCUAUUAUUAAAGUGCCCCUUUGCGAUCCUAAAUCAUUAGAGUUUAGAGUGAGAGACAAUAUAAAAAAAAAUAUAUCAACCAAUCAGAGAAUUCAAUGUUUGUAAUAGGAUCUUUAGUGCCUUCCACAACAUCCAAAUGGAGCAAGAAUUAGACUAUGCUCUUCACUAGCAUGCUUAUGGGCGAUCAAAGCAACUAAAAGCCUCAUGAAGCAUCAACUUGUAAGUCUCCCAUAGUUUUUUCGGUAGAAGAGUCUCCUACGUUGUUUGGGCUGUUUUUUAUUUGUUUCUCAUAUAUAUGUACAUGUUUACAUAUUUUACUAGCUACUUGCACAUUAUCUGCAUAACACCAUGGUGUUUGGGCCUUUUUCUCCUUAAUUUUUAGCAAGUCCUUUCUCCACUAAUAAGAUAAAGAUGUCAUUAAUCAAAUGCAUCUCUUUUAGUAACAUUGUCAUUGUAACUUAAACUCUUAACAUAUCAGUAAAACUAAGCUUGACAACACAAUUUAUCAAAUCACCAACUAGCAUACUGAUGGAACAAACAUAACAGACCACUAACCAAAACCUGCAAACUCUGGAUGCAUCAAGUUGAUGAUUAAAGUAGCAAACAUGAUAAAAGGUAGAGGUGAUCAACAAAAACUAAGGAACAGGACUGUCCUUUUCUUUCUACUUUGUCCACAUACCACGACAUCAAAAUUCCAGCGGCAAAUGCAUUAUUCAUCAUGGUGGUCAACAAAUUUCCAACUCUAGAUCAUGCAGUAGCUCAAUCAACAAUCACCAUAACCAGAGUGCUCCUGUCUUCCAAUAAUGUGCAGAGGUAUAUGCAUAUCAAUUUGUUACUCAGUCGAACCCAUAUAUAACUAAGCAUCAGCAAGCCUUACAAUGAUAGAUGGCAUAAGAUACAUCGGUCACCAAACAUACAUUAAGAUGGGAUAAAUCUGAAUAAAAGAAACCCAUCCACAGAAAGCCCACAAUAGACAAGACAAGCAAAAUAUAUUGAUAAUUAGUUUUUCUUCGCUUCUCUUCCAGCACCAUCACAACAGACGAGUCCCCAACUCUCCAUAUUCAAAACUAAAUCAUCAGUCAAAGCAAACAACACAAUAUAGGAUAGGAGGAAUAGCUUGGGAGGACUCACAUUGCCACCAUGCAGCUACUGGGGGACAUAGUAGUAGGAGAGAGGAUCAGUUGGCGGGGCCCCAAGGGGGCGGGGCACGUCCUCCUUCCCCUCGUCUCUCGGCACGAUGUCGACAAGGAAGUCGAAGACGUCGGUGCGGGUGAUGGCCGCGGCGAUGUCAUUCUUCUGGAGGGUGCGGCGCUUGUUCUCCUCGGCAUGGGCCCAGGAGCGGUGGGUGAGCUCCAGGAUGAACAUCUCGCAGGCACGGGCGAAGACGACAGGAGCCUCGGCGGCGAUCAUGCGCACAUCCUCGUCAGCCUUCAUGAUCUUCUUGAUGCGGGCUAGGGGCAGGCUGUGGUUCUUGAAGUCGCUGGUCUGCUCGAUCUCACGGUACUGGUCGGCCCAGAAUAUCUGCAGCUGCUGCUGCUGCUGCUGUUGCUGCUGGUGGUAGAGGUGCUGAUAGGCUUGGUAGGGGCCGCUGGAGGCGGCGGCGGCGGCGGCGGGGUAGGGAACGGGAGCAGCGACGCCGAUCACUGGAGGGGUGGGAUGGCCCUGCUGAUCCAUUCCGUUCGGUCUCGAUCUAGAAUCAAACAGAACACAGGCGUCAAAAUCCGAUCUUAUUGGGGAAAGAUAAAGGAUUUUAGGGCAUCAAACACAACCAAGGCGUCAAAAGUCGAUCUUUUUGAGGAAGUACGAAGGAAUUUGGGGUAUAUAACACAGGCGUGAAAAUCCGAUCUUUUCGAGGAAAAACGAACGAAAUUAGGGCAUCGAUCGCAACCCAAAGGCCAAGAUCCGAUCUUUUGGAGGAAAAAUGAAGGAUUUUGGGCUAUCAAACACUACCAAGGCGUCAAAACUCGAUCGUUUGGAGGAAAAGGAUUCUGCUAGUACCAAACGCGACCGCAGGCGUCAAACUCCGAUCCUUUCGACGAAAAACAAAGGAACUUAGGGUAUCGAACACAACUAACGUCAAAAUCCGAUCUUUUUGUGGAAAAACAAAGAGACUAGGGGUAUCAAACACACCCCAGACACCAAAAUCCGAUCUUUUGAGGAAAAACUAGGAUUUUGGAGUGUCUAACGAGACCCAGGCGCCAAAAUCCGAUCUUGUUGAUUUAAGAACGAAAGGAUUUGAUUGAAGAGGGUAGAAGAGGAAGAAGGGAUCCGGGCUGAACUGACGCGGGGGAAGGUGAGAUUUUUAGUGGAAUAAGGGGGAGUACAAGCGGAAAGAUGGAAUCUUUGGGGAAGCGAGUGGAAUUUUAGGGUUAGGUAUUGGAUUGAAGAGGCAUGGGAUUGUCAUAGGGAAGAAAACAAGACGCUAGAAUUCGAGAACGAGGUUUAGACAGGAAACAUAGCUUGGUGCCUAGGGAAAAAAAAUGAGCAAAAAGGGGCAGAGGGAGGAGGAAGGUGAGAGGCUGCAGUGUUUGGAUUUCAUACCUUGCCGACGGCGUUUAGAACAAUCGAGAGGAGAGCGAACAGGGGACGAUGGAAUUAAGGAACAGGCCAGGAAUCGUACUGGGGGUGGAGUUUUUUUGAUUAAAGUGUUGGGGGUGGAAUUAGGCUUGGAAUGCCGUCUCUCUUAUGGAAAAUAUUUAUGGAAGUGCAGCGCAAUCCCUACACAGAACUCACACAAAACAUUAGUACGCGGCUCGGGCUGAUAGCCAGUGACCCGCACCUUGAAGCGGGAUUUAAUUAAACAACCCCCAAAAAAAAAACAAAUGGGAUUUAAUUAAAUAAAAAAACAAAAAAUAUGGUAAUAAUGUGAAGUUACGUAUACAUUGAAGUUAUUUUUAUCCUUAUAAAGAUAUAUUUAUAGUUAUUUUUUUAAUAAAAAACCUUUUUUUAUCAUGGUUGAGAAGAAUGUUGGAAGGGAAAAAAAAAAAAAAUAUUAUUAUUAUUAUUUGUUUCUAUUUAGAGGUAAUUGUUCAGGACCAUAAGGUUGGUCUACUCACUGUUUUGACCACAACAUCAAAAUGCACUUCACCAUCAAGUACAACUCCUACCUCUAGAACAAUAAAUCACACACUCUCUCCCUUUUGAUUCAAAUAGGCAUUCUUAGUUAAAUCCAAGAGGAGAAAAGAGUGAUAAAAAGAGAGAAAGAAAGAGAAGGGAAAAGGAGAGAGAUCAAGCUCUCACUUAUCAGAUAUAGUGAUGAGGGUGAGGGCUUGGUUGCAAAAAAGAGGGAGAAAAAAGAUUUUUAGUUGCUAGAUCUAAUAAUUAUUAGCAACUGACUACCACUCAAAGAAGAAAAAGAGGUGGAGUGAGAGAUCAAGGGGUAACAGAUGAUAGCUUUUUGAUGGUAUGGAAGACACACACAGGAGAGGAGAGUUGAUUCGAGUUCAUUAUAUAUAAAAUAAAACAAAGAACUAAGGAAUUUGUAGAAUCACCAUAGCAACAGAAUGGAACUUAGUAAAGAUAAUCAUUAAAAUAUUUGUGCAUAUAAAAUAACAUAUAUAGAAAAAAAAAUGCCAAUAGCAUCGCAGCACAUAAUAACACUUUAGUAUCGAUAGUUCCAGCAUCAAGCAUAUCUAGAAUAUAUGCUGGACAUCCACCCUCCUUGCUUUAGCACUUAACUGAAGCAUAGAAAAUUGCAGUUCAACUUAAAAUGUAUACAAGACAUUAUGUGUUGUAAGAAUUAAUAUAGAAUGGACCAUACGAAGUGCAUGACUCCACUUGAAGUGUUCACUCUCCUUGACGGAAUUCGCUUCAUGAUAAACUAUGGUAGUUGUGUCUAAUAUACUUCUUUUUAAUGCAAUUGGAUCCUCUCUUAGAUCUGUUAAAAUCUUGGGCUGCCCGUCUGGCCCGCCCAAGCCCAGGCCUGGCCCAAUAAAAUCGCUAGCGGAAGCUCAAUUACUCUUAGUAUCAAAGAAGAACAAAAUCCAAGUUCCCAUAACCUGUCCUUUCCCUCUCGCCAUCGCCAUGACCUCAUCUUCCCUCUCGCCACCACCACGAGUUCCUCUCCGUCUAUUGCUGCUGCCUUCCCUCUCUUGUCGUAGCCAUGGCCUCCACAGCACACCACACCAUCUGAAAAGCCUGAGGCCCGAUCCGAGAAAUAAAGCUCGAGUCGGGCCGGAUCAGACCUGACUAACUUUGGUUCCACAUUGACUUGAGGCCGGCCCAAGCCCAACCCAGUCUGUCUGUCAAUCCUCUGAUAAAUCUUCCAAACUACGGCGUUGAAUAUGGUAUGGUUAAAAGAUACUCAAAAUGAAUACCAAGUGGCCAUCUCCCCUUCAAGGGAAUCGCGCCUCACUUCAAAAGCCACGUGUAUUCUUUGUGGACACAUGUGCGCUAUGUUACGUUAGUUAUGUUAUGUUAUGAACUGGAUUUUUGUAUGUCUAUAUUUCCAGAAAAAGUAUAUCAAUGGCCGACGCUAAUAUUGUAUUAUUGUGGUGAUUUUUUUUUUUUUGAGUGCUUUUUAUGGGAAGCUUGUUCUCCUAGAGACGGAAAGCGGGUCUUCAAUUGUUUAUAGUUUUAAAAUUUGCUAAAAUUUGGAUUGCUACAAAUCAUUUUGUGGAAAAGUCAAAGCUUAAUGAUAGGACGAGAAGGGAAGGGAGGGUGCCAGCACGGCAGUAGACUUUGCGUGUGAGGCAGCCCAUAUUUCCGCUCUCUUUACUUAUGCUUAAAACAAAUGGCCUCUUAAGUUUCAGGCAGCCCAUAUUUCCGCUCUCUUUACUCAAUUAUCAUGGUCUUAGAGCAGGGGUGCAUGUGAGGCAGUUUGGGUCUGGUCUAACCUAAUUUAAGUCCAACCCAAAUGGACUUUGGUACCCAUCAUAACCAUGAUUAUAUAUAGCAUGGUCAAGCUUGAAUUCACUUUGUUUUUUUUUUUUAGAUGUUGUUUUAUGCUAGAAAACAACAUAAGGUUAACCCUUCAUUUUGUACAUCGGAGCUUGGGAUGGCAUUGGCUUGUUGAUAUCGGCUCUAUAAUUACUUAAAUCGAUAAACCAUUCACUUGCAUAUCAUGGUAGCUAGGUUGAGUUCAUUUUAGUUCAUAUUGUGUCAGCCGUGCCCACACUCUUGAGCAAAUCUUGGUUAAGUUUAAUAGAGUCCGAUCAAAUCUGAUCAGGUUAAAUUCAAUUCCACCGGUCUCGAACUCAACUUGGCUUUGAUUGACCCUAUCUUACUCAUGGGCAGGUAUUGAUUACAUGCUGAAUUUAGGUCUAUAUGAUGUCACCUUAGUUUUAGAGCGUAUUUCUCAGUUUUCUUUUGAAAUCAUAUUAGAACGUGAGUAGGAAUGAAAGCUAAACUAUAAGGCCAAAUCAAUUGAUCAUAAUUGCCCAAGUUUUCUAGAUUUUGAGAAAGAGAUCAAUGGCACUAACUUAAUCAAUUGAUGAAGAACACAUGUUAGCUAUAUAGAGAAGAAGAAAUGAUGUCAGUUUUAGCAUCUGGUAUCUUUUUUUUUUGUUCAUUCUUUGUUUGUCACUUUUUGGAUGCUGGGGGUACAAUAAUAGACCCUAGGAAGGAUCCUAUGUGUAUCUUUUGCAUGGAAGAAUAAUUUUUUUUUUUUGGUAAUAUCAACAGUUGAAUUGUAUGAUAUUUUUUUCGAAAUCUUUACAUACAGAUGGAAGAAAAAGAUUGAAGUCCUUCACAUCUAUAAGAUGCGAUUCAAUGCUCGAUGUUGUAAAAAAAAAAAAAAAUUAAUUAUUCUUUCACUCAAAAGAUACAACCCAAAAUCCUAAAAACAGUCAUUUGCUGUCACAUACGAAAUUAAAUGGCCGUAGAUGGUCCACCCUGUGGCCCAUCCUGUGAUGGCACCAAAAUAACAUGACACUCCAGCAAAUCGUGCUACGCUUUUAUGAGGAAAGGGGAGGCAUAAAUGCCAUGACCAAAGUAUGUUGAAGUCGCUAAGCUUGUGCUUUUCACUACCUAGAAACAACCAAGGUACCCUCUGCAGGACAGCAUUAAGUGGGAAACCGAGGGUGGGUCUUCAGAAGCCUAAGCCAGACCAUAGUUUUGUUACCUAGCUAAUUCAAUCAUGAACGCAAAAUGAUAAGGCCAACUAAAUUGCUUCCCAACCCUACCAACCAUAGGGCCAGAAAAGAAAAAAAUGGCCUGCAAUUUUUUAGGGACCCAUUGUUUGGUAGGUCAGCUGCAGUUGUUUUGGUAGGUUGGGGGUCUCAAUCUUAUCACACUCUAAUUUGUUGCGUGGUUUUAAUCCUAAGAUCUUGAGAUAUUGCGAAUAACCUUGCAAACCAAGUGAAUUAUCUAAAAGUUCUUUUUUUCAAAAAAUUUAAAAAAAAAUCCCAUUAAUAGUGCAUUUCGAAAAUGAAUUACGUACAAAUGAACUGGAUUAAAUCAACCUCACCCUAGAUCCCUCAAAUACCACCUAGGUUUAAUCCAUGUUANNNNNNNNNNNNNNNNNNNNNNNNNNNNNNNNNNNNNNNNNNNNNNNNNNNNNNNNNNNNNNNNNNNNNNNNNNNNNNNNNNNNNNNNNNNNNNNNNNNNNNNNNNNNNNNNNNNNNNNNNNNNNNNNNNNNNNNNNNNNNNNNNNNNNNUUAAGAUUUAUUCAUCCUACAGCAUCCUCCAUGAGUUCAUCACUCAUUUACAUGAUCAAUCUAAAAUUGUCUGAGAAAUCAAGCCAAGCUAGCCUGCAAGCAUAUAGUGUUGUUAUAGCUCUACAAUAUUAUCAAAUACAAGUGUAUAUGUUGCUAUUGUUAUGGAAAAGUUGACAACCUACCAGGAAAAUUUAAGAUGUCCAAGGACUUGAAAAUAUUCCAGUAUGUACUCAUGCAAAUAUCAUUCCCAACAUCAUCGUUCUCUCGUUUUCCAUAGCAUCUAAGCAAGAAUCACCCUAAAACAUCAUAGAUAUUAAUUAAUACAACUUCUGAACUUUAUUUAGAUAUACGAAACCGACAAUUACAAAUUCGACUCUACAUGCAAAUCUUAUUCUUGUUGACAAGAAUGGCAUGAGAGAUAACAAAAGGAACAAAGGAAAAUACAAGAGAACAAAAAAGGUUAUACAUAGCUCCAAAUGUCUUCUACCGCACGUUUGAAGACUAGAACUAUUUAACAAAACCUUUCAAUUAGUUGUAGUCUAUAUGUGCAAUCCCCACUAAGGAUCAUCUUCCUUCCUCUCUUCAGCCAUCAAGAUAGGUAGGAGCCAUAAACACUGGAGCUACUACUGCCUUUCCCUCCGACGAACACCGGUCCCCCAUGGGCCUUGGAUCGCCUACGGGGGCGGCUCGCAUCAUCGACAGAGGCGAAGAUGACCAUGGAAAUGAUCGACAGCCACACGAUGAUGACGCAGAAGAUCACAUCGCCGCUAUUGUGGGACUCGAAAACCAUUGGUACCAUGGCUUUGCUGUGGAUGCUCUCUUCACCUCCUCCGGUCUUUAGUUUGAUCCACUGUAGUCCAAUAUGGCAGUAUAUAUAGGCCUUUGGGAGAUGGUGCUCCCAUUGGUUCACUCCAAAUUCCUGUCCAAGCGUUCCACUUUGACGAUAUACCAUCUACUCUUUGGUUGACUGAGUCAAUUGAUAAUUUUUUUAGUUUUAAUUAUUAGAUGUUUGUUUUGACUAGGCCGGUCCUGUGAGCCGUAAAUUAUGGGGCACCAACGUGGUGCAACAUGGAUAUAAAAAUAGUGGAUGAAGUCAUAGACCCAUGGAGUUGAGGUUCUUUAUUGUGGCGACC
rnacentral:lncRNA from 1 species